CAUCCAUCCAUCAUAAAAGCAAUCCAUGACUUCAGGGGGUUAACAAAGGUCUUUUGAAGCAAAGCGAAUGGGUUUUUGUAAGAAAAAUAUCCAUAUUUAAAACUUUAUUAACUAUAAUAACUAGCUUCAGACAGAUGGUCAUACGCAUCGAUUUGCAGUGGAAGAAUAUUCUCUGGCAUGACACAGUGACGAACGCGGAAGCGCAGAGGAUAGAGCAAAACAAAACUGGUCACGAAUUACAGUAGAAGUCUAAAACGUUAAUUUUUUUAGAGAAAUGUUGGAGGAUUUUAAUAUAGGCUAACUGAAGAGUAGACUGAGUUCGUUGCCCAGCCCUAUUUGUUUGAACCGUGAGAGCAGUGUUGUAGUCAAGACCAGCUCAUUCGAGUCCAAGUCAAGACCGAGUUCAGAGAGGGCUGAGUCCUGAGUCGAGAUUGAGACCUGAAAGUUUGGAGUUCUAGACACGAGAGGUAUCUAAUCUUUCUGGGGAAUAGACGUGAUAAAUGUGAGGUGACAAAAGAAAGAACGACUCUGAUCUCGAGCGCAGCUGCAGCCCGCUCCCCGAUCUAUCUGAAGAUAAGCCUUCUCAAAUCUCCCUCCGACAUCAUCUGGCUCUUCACGGAGUUCUCAGAUGCCGGGAGAUAAUACGGCCGGUCAUGUGAUGGGCAUGAGAUGCCAGGGAGGUCUGAGCAGCCGAGAACAGAACCAGCGGCCUUCAGCUCAGUCUGGAAUAGUAGUGUUAACAAUCAACACGAGAGCAGUGACGUAAUCACGAAAAGCAUUGACGUCACUUUACUGUACAACUGCAGGAAUAACACAGCUGACCAAAUUCACAAGGAUCUCAAAUUAAGAUUGCAAUUAAAGAAAUAUAAUCUCUUGAGAUUUUAAUUCAGAUUAAAGCAGUAUUUCCGCA